ACGGGGGAACUCAAAUUCCCAUCUCACAGUGGUGGCUUUUNAAUAGUGUAAGUAGCCUAAAGGAAUAAGAGNUGGGCAAGACCGGUGCCAGCAGCCGCGGUAA
rnacentral:rRNA from 1 species